CUUAUUAUUGCUUUUUGUUUUGCUUAGGGGUUUAUACAUUUUUUAUCAAAUAGUAAAUAUUUAUCCAAUUUGAUUAUUUAUUAUGUUUAACUCCUGUAAAAUUAUUUGUUUACGUUUACAAUGGGUUGUUUAUUCUUUACAUUUUCACUUCACCUUUCAAAUUUUCUUAACGCUAAUAAAGGCUAAUAAUCAGUAAGAAUAUUAUUUCAAAGUGUUUCAAAUAUUUUGAAUUUGAACUGUUAUUUCAUAUAAAAUAAUAAUUUCAUACCUAUAUGAACCAUUUAUUCAUAAUAUUCCACAUGAAAAAAAAUGAAAAAUUAAAUGUUUUAUAAUAACAGUUUUGUCUUCGGAAUAUACGCCCAAUCGCUAGGUAUAUCUUAGUUUUUUCAAUUUAAUUUUUUUUUCGUCUCGGUGGUAUUCGAACCAAAAAAUUUGUUACUCCAAAAUAAAAAAUUUAUAGUACAUUGUUUACCGGGUAGGAAAAGCUUAACAUUCCUGGACGACUGUGAAGAUUGCUAAGUCGAGGCGCAAGCCGAGACUUAGCAACACAGAGUCCAGGAAUGUGGCUUUUCCUACGAGGUAAACAUACUAUUUUUCCGCAAAUCGUUUAAAAUUCGACAGAUAUUGAUUGAUUAAAAAAAAACGCGAUAAUUUUAUUCCCAAAUAAAUGGUGCUUUGAAAUUCCUAAUAAAAUUACUUGGGUUACUAUGGAAACGUAUUGAGGUUGAAUUGUCAAACUUGACGUUUAUAAAUUUAACACUAACAACUGUACGGAAAUAUCAUUUCCUUACAGUAAGGAAAUGACAUUUCCUUACAGUAAAGUCCACUUUACAUCAACAAUAAAUUGAACAAUAAAUUGACAAAGUUAUUCAAGGCCAAAUUUGACGUGUUAAAGCACACUUUGACAUCUAAGUUUGUUCGUUAUAAACUUCACGUGAAGAAAAAGAAAAUUGUUCUAUUUUUUCAUUUAUUUGGCGUGAAUUCAGUGUCACCAACCUGUGUCCAUUUGGCGGGAAGUGGAAGUAGAGCUUUUUGUUUAUUAUUAUUUGUUGAGGUUGAGUCUUUCAUGUUCAUGACAACCUAAAAAUUUUGAUUGGAAAAUGCAUAUAAGAUAAGGGGGUGGGAAAAUGGAAAUUAGUGGCUUUUUUUGCAGUUCUGUCUGUUAGUUUUGCGUUUUGCUCUGGCUGGGUCUCUUUUGUUUAAACAAUUAUAAUCAGCUGAAAGUGAUCUACAAAAAAACCAGGAAGGAAACGUAUUAUAGCCUUGUUGUGGCUAUGAAAGGCAAAAGAAAGAUACCUAUAAAAAGUGUAUUGACUAGUUGGAAGAAACUCCACAUUGUCAAUGCAUAAUAAGAUAUUACUUUAUAAACAAAUAUCAAGACCUAGGAAUGGAACCUGGAUAAUAUAGUCAUCAAGAAGAUAGCAGGAAGUCAUGAGCAACAACAACUUCAUAAGUAUGAGAAUAUUGAGGAAAUCCACACUCCUCGAUAUCUACUACUGGACAAACUAGAAGAUUGAAGAGGACAAAGCCUUUUGAACUAGUUUGAGUGAUAGGUGAUAGUGAAAAGCAGAGCGUAGUGCUUGUGUGCUUGUGUAUGUUAGAAUAGUGCACGAUCUUGUUAGAUUAGAUAAGAGACGCUAUGGGGUAAGCUCUUCAUUUUAAGGAACAGUAGUAAUUUAGGUUAAAUUAAAUUUGCUCAUUGGUCAGUUAUGACCAGAUUGUAAUUCUCUGAUGUUUGGCAAAAAGGGCUUAAGUCAGAAUUGCACAUCAAUAAUGUUUUGAUGAUUUCUGGACCAUAAAAAAAGUGUUGCAGACUUACACUGUAUGUACCAAUAAAAAGAGCCGAUUUUUCUGGUCCAGAAAUCAUCAAAACAUUAUCGAUGUGCAAUUCUGACUUAAGCCCUUUUUCCCAAACAUCAGAGAAUUGCAGUGUACAAUUCAAUACAAAUGAAUCAUCAUCCUAGUGAUGAUUAUGGAAAAAAAUAUAUGACAAGAUUUUGUGCAAUAAAAAUGUUUAUAUUUAUCAAGGAUGUAUUAUUUGGUAUGGCCACAUAUACUUCUGGUAUAUCGUCGGUGAUGUGACAAUACCUCCUAUCUGCUUUUUCAUGAAUUUUGUAGGAGACGAAAAACCAUUUUUAGGGUCAUCUCUGUUUUCACAUGUAAAUUUUGACAUGUUUUGUGGUAAAUAGAUGAUUGAAUUUACUACAAAACAUGUCAAAAAAUAUCAUAUGAAAACAGGAGGUGACUGUAAAAAAAGUUUUUAGUCUCUCUUACAAAACGGUGAACAGAGGUGACAGUUAAUAGAGAGACAGAUAAUCGAGGUUCUACUGUAUAGUGAAAUUUGGACACCCGACACCCCAUACAAAUUUUAUGGGGGUUUUGUUUGUUUAAACCCCCCCAAACUUUUGUGUAAGUUACAAUUGAAUUAUUAUUGUGGUACUAUUAAACACAAUGUUUUUAAAACUUUUUUGCCUCUUAGUACUUUUUUGAAGUCAGUUUUUAUCGUGAUAUUUUGAAUAUUUGUCCAAUCCACCACAUAUUUGUAUAUGGUUAAGUACGAUUGUAGAGACUAAUAAUAUGAAAAUUUAUUUAUGAUUUACAUUUUUAGGUAUAUUUUGAACCAUUUUAAAAAGAAGCCAUAUCUUGAUAAAAAGAGCUUUAUCGAAAAAAUAGAAAGAGGUAAAAAAGUUUUAAAAACACAGUGUUUAACUAAUGGUACCGCAGAAAUAAUUUAAUUGGAACGUACCCAAAAGUUUGGGGGGGUUAAAGGGAACAAAACCCCCAUAAAAUUUUUAUCAUCAUCAUCAUCAUUGGCUCGACAGCCCUUUCUGGGUUUUGGCCUGUUCCAGGAUUCUUCUCCACUCUGAUCUGUUUCGUGCUUUUUUUCUCCAGUUUUUUAUUUUUAAGGUUUUUAUAUCAUUUUCUAUUUGUUCUAAAUAUCUCAGCUUCGGUCUUCCUCUUGUUCUUUUUCCUACUGGCAUCUGUUUGAAUAUUUUGUUUGGUAUUUCGCCUUCUUCCAUUCUUUCUACAUGUCCCAUCCAACGCAGCCGUCCUAUUUUAAUGAAUGUUAUGAUAUCCGGAUCCUGGUAUAUUUCAUAUACUUAGUUCAAAGUUGUACCUUCUUCGCCAAAUUCCAUUUUCUUUUGUGCCCUUAUAUAUGUGUCGCAAGAUUUUUCUUUUAAAGGUGGCUAGCAAUGUUUCCUCUCUUUUAGUGAGUGUCCAGGUUUCUGAGCCGUAUGUGAGUACCGGUCUUAUUAGGGUUUUGUAUAUUUGGCAUUUUGUUUUCCUUGCGACGUUGUCUGAUCUUAGUAGCCGAAUUAAGCCAUGGUAACUUUUAUUGGCAAUAAAUAUUCGCCUCUUCACUUCCUCUGCUACGUUAUUAUCAGAUGUGACUAGGGAUCACAAGUAUGUAAAGUUUUUUACCCCCUCAAUGUUGUAUUCUCCUAUUGUUAUAUUUUGUGGCUGCCUUAUUUCUGUGUUUUUACUUACCUGCAUAUAUUUUGUUUUGUUCUGGUUGAUUUUAAGGCCACUAUUUUGUGCAGCUCAUUCUAUUUGAUUGAAUGCCUCUAUCAUUUUUACAUUAGUAUUUUCAAAGGUAAUAGGAAGAUCAAUACUUCAUAUAAAAUAAAUAAUGAAGAUCUGAAAUAUGUUUCAAAAGUUAAAGAUUUAGGAGUGAUUUUUGACGAGAGUUUGAGUUUUGUUGAACACAUUAAUUACAUAACAGUUCAGUCUUCAAAAAUGUUAGGAUUUAUUUUGAGACACUGUAGUAAUUUUUCAGUUGACACUGUAAGAGGAGUUUAUUGUUCUUUGGUGCGAUCUAAACUUGAAUAUGGCUCUAUAGUAUGGUCUCCAUAACAUGCAGUUCAUAAUAUGACUGUUGAAAAAAUUCAACACAAAUUUUUGAGGUUCUGUGCAUUUAAAUUAGGUCAAACUAUUGUAGAUCACGAUUAUUCAUUAAUAGAAAACAGUUUAAAACUUAAUACACUGAAAAAUAGAGGUAAUCAAGUAGGAUUAGUAUUUUUGUAUAAUUUAAUAAAUGGAAAUUUAGAUUGCUGUGAUCUAUUACAGUGUAUUAAUGUUGAUAUACAAACUAGAAAUUGAAGAGGUGAUUUUAUAACAUUUUAUAUUCCUUUCCAUCGCACAAGUUAUGGCCAAAAUUCACCUAUAGAUCGUUACUGUAAGCUUAUAAAUGACAAACACAUUGAAAUUUUUGAUAUAUCUCUGAAUAUGUUUAAAAAUAAUUUAAAUAGAGUAUUUAUUUAAUUUUUUUGUUAGUUCUAAGGUUAUAGGUUACUUCCUUAUGCUUGUCAUGCACGGGGAGCUAUACUGUAAUAUAUAUUAUAUCACAUCGCUCUCUAUAGUAAUGAGUGAGCCUGCACAUACGGAACCAUUAGUUCCCUGUCUGCAGGCUCACUCAUUACUAUAGAGAGUGAUAUGAUAUAAUAUACAUAUAUUACAGUAUAGCUCCCAGUGCAUGACAAGCUUAAGGAUGUAACCUAUAGCCUAGGCUAUAUUAUAAAAAAAUCACUCAGAUGGGACAACAGGUUUAGAAAAUUCGAGACAUCAAAAAUGCCCUAUUUUUAAGGUGGUGCGUUAAUUUCUUGGAGAAGUGUAUUGUAAUUUAAUGUAAAUAAUGUAAUAUUAAAUAAUUGUAAUUUAAUAUAAGAUGUAAUAUAAGUUCCUUAAAAA
rnacentral:lncRNA from 1 species